rnacentral:rRNA from 1 species
UACGGGAGGCAGCAGUGGGGAAUAUUGCACAAUGGGCGAAAGCCUGAUGCAGCUAUGCCGCGUGUAUGAAGAAGGCCUUAGGGUUGUAAAGUACUUUCAUCGGGGAGGAAAAACAAAACUAAUAAUUUUAUUUCUUGACGUUACCCGAAAAAGAAGCACCGGCUAACUCCGUGCCAGCAGCCGCGGUAAUACGGAGGGUGCUAGCGUUAAUCAGAAUUACUGGGCGUAAAGAGCACGUAGGUGGUUUUUUAAGUCAGAUGUGAAAUCCCUGGGCUUAACCUAGGAACUGCAUUUUGAAACUGAAAUACUAGAGUAUCGUAGAGGGAGGUAGAAUUCUAGGUGUAGCGGUGAAAUGCGUAGAUAUCUGGAGGAAUACCUGUGGCGAAAGCGGCCUCUAAACGAAUACUGACACUGAGGUGCGAAAGCGUGGGGAGCAAACAGGGAUUAGAUACC